UACGUAGGGGGCAAGCGUUGUCCGGAAUCAUUGGGCGUAAAGAGCGUGUAGGCGGCCAGAAAAGUCCGCUGUGAAAACUCGAGGCUCAACUUCGAGCUGUCGGUGGAAACUUUCUGGCUAGAGUCCGGAAGAGGAGAAUGGAAUUCCUGGUGUAGCGGUGAAAUGCGCAGAUAUCAGGAGGAACACCGGUGGCGAAAGCGGGUCUCUGGGCAGUAACUGACGCUGAGGAGCGAAAGCGUGGGGAGCGAACAGG
rnacentral:rRNA from 1 species